GCCGUCUUCGGGCGGCUAUGGCAAUAAACGGGCGAUGCAAUAAACCCAUUGGACCCGGGGGCGGUACCCGGCGCCUCCACCAAAAACCGGCCUGUGCAGACCGGCUUUUGA
rnacentral:sRNA from 1 species